CCUUUUUUCUUUUUGUCUGUAUUGCGGUUUGUAUGUUUUGGCUACGGUCACAUUUAACCGCACAACAAUAAACAAGCGCAACAGUAUAUGUACUAUAGUAAAGUGUUCUUUCAUAGCCCUUAUAUUAUUCUGUAAUAAAAAAAACUAAAGGAUGAUUGAAAAAGACUGCAUAUGUUCCGAAGAAGAGUCUUUAAUUAUGUGCCGUUUGUGCGGCAAUCUGAUGCGAGGCAGGAUGAUGCAUAUAAACUGCCCUUCACACCCAAAGGUGUAUAAUUUGAUGGGGUACAAACAUUGCUCUCGUUGCAGUUGUACAAGAUUGCGAAAAGUUAAUUCAAAGGCAUAAAGGAGCCAGGAUUCUCAAACUAGUUCCAUUGCAAUUGCAAGCAAAAGUUUCAUUUCACUGCGUAGUUUCUUUCGCUUAAAUUAGGAUUUCAUUCUUUUCACUUUACGUUUUGUGUAACAUUUUUUGUUAAUAUACCACAACAAAACUGUACAUAUCUUUGCCUUUAUUUUCACUUCAAAACUGUAAAUUUUGCUGCGCACGGACCAAGUUUUGUUAUAUUUGCAUGUAUCACUGUGUGCAGUGUUGCCAGAUACGGUUGCAUGUUCAGCUUUUCUUUAUUAAAGUCCCUUCCAUUGGAUAAAUGUUCGGCAUCACUGGGUGGGGGAUGUUCCUUAAUUUAAUAAAAUAAGUAAUGAAUACUAAAAUUUCUGUA